CCUACGGGGGGCAGCAGUUAGGAAUUUUUUGCAAUGCGCGAAAGCGUGACAAAGCGAGCCAGAGUGCUUUCUCUUUAGAGAAAGCUUUUGUUAGAUGUAAAAAGUCUGACGAAUAAGGACCGGGAGAGACUGGUGCCAGCCGCCGCGGUAAUCCCAGCGGUCCAAGUCGUAACCGCGUUUAUUGGGUCUAAAAUAUCCGUAGCUUGUUUUGUAAGUCUCUUGUGAAAUCUGGCAUCUCAAGUGUUGGGCGAGCAAGAGAUACUGCAAAGCUAGAGACCGGGAGACGUAAGGAGUACAGUUUGGGUAGCGGUUAAAUGCGUUGAUCCUUACUGGACUAACAAUAGCGAAGGCACCUUACGAGAACGGAUCUGACAGUGAGGGAUGAAGGCUAGGGGCGCAAAUUGGAUUAGAUACCCCAGUAGUC
rnacentral:rRNA from 1 species